GAUGAACGCUGGCGGCGUGCCUAAUACAUGCAAGUCGAGCGAACAGACGAGGAGCUUGCUCCUCUGACGUUAGCGGCGGACGGGUGAGUAACACGUGGAUAACCUACCUAUAAGACUGGGAUAACUUCGGGAAACCGGAGCUAAUACCGGAUAAUAUAUUGAACCGCAUGGUUCAAUAGUGAAAGACGGUUUUGCUGUCACUUAUAGAUGGAUCCGCGCCGCAUUAGCUAGUUGGUAAGGUAACGGCUUACCAAGGCAACGAUGCGUAGCCGACCUGAGAGGGUGAUCGGCCACACUGGAACGGAGACACGGUCCAGACGCCUACGGGAGGCAGCAGUAGGGAAUCUUCCGCAAUGGGCGAAAGCAUGACGGAGCAACGCCGCGUGAGUGAUGAAGGUCUUCGGAUCGUAAAACUCUGUUAUUAGGGAAGAACAAAUGUGUAAGUAACUAUGCACGUCUUGACGGUACCUAAUCAGAAAGCCACGGCUAACUACGUG
rnacentral:rRNA from 1 species